AGAAAGAAAUCUUUAUUUAUCUGAAUAAUAAUAAUAAUAAUAAUAAUAAUAAUAAUUAUAUACUGUUAAUCUGAAUAACACCUUUGAAGCAUACAGAGUGAGAGAGGAGACUGGUGAGAAAGAACAGGAGGGACCUCUGAGCAAAUUAAUUCCAUGUACAGCUGCAGGGCAGAUCAGAUGUGUGUAUAUUUUAUUUUAUAUCUAUAUAUAAUAUAUAUACACACAUAUUCUAUAUAAAUUUCAUAAUUUGUCUUUUUACACGUGUGUAUAAGUGUGCGUGUGUAUAUAUGCAUAUAUACACAUAUACAUACAUAUAUGCACGCCCGUGUGUAUAUAAAUAUAAUUACAUGUACAGAUAUAUACACACACCUGGUAUAAAAAAGUUUAGCAGUUUCCUUGGAUUUGAUUUCUGUGUACGUUCUCUAUUUUUCCAUGGCACACAUAAUAUAAAGUAAACAUUUAAUGGUGUAUGGGAGAAGCCAUAUUGAGAGGCGGAGGGGUGUAUUAACUGGUGUAUAGAUAUUCUAUAUUAUAUAUAUAUAUAUAUAUAUGUACAGGAAUCUCCUCUGCUUUUUCGCUGCAGGGGCAGAGUCCAUUUCAUUACCAGUCCCUCAAUAAGAUAUAUAAUAUAUUUUUUUAAUAUU